CUUUUGACUGCAGAAAUGGCUUUUAAAUGUGCACGAGGGCUUCCUCCUGAGGUCGCAGCUGAGCCAAUUGUUAAAGAAGCAGUUGAAGCAAAAGGAUUGAGAGAUGAUACAACUUGCAUUGUCAUUGACAUAAUAUCACCAGAGAAACCAAAACGCACUAUACAAUCUCAAAGAACGCCAGGAAAAGGCCUUGUGCUUCUAAAAAAUUCUUUUUAAGGAAAACAACAUCUGACUCGUUGUCUCUCCCUUAUAAGAAUAAUUAUCCUGAGCCAGAUUUGGAGGAGGUCUUUGAGGACGGAUGCCCAUCCCUAUCAAGGAGGUAUCAUUGGAAUUCAGUCUUCAGUUUGACAAAUAACGGCUUAGUAGCACCAGAAAAAGAGGGGGUCAUGAUUCCACAGUCUGUUAAGUUAUGAGGUAUCAUUGGAAU